GGCUCAGUGGUUAAGAGCACUGGCUGCUCUUCCAGAGGACCUGGGUUCAAUUCCCAG
rfam:Mesocricetus auratus contig206743, whole genome shotgun sequence.